rnacentral:rRNA from 1 species
UACGUAGGGGGCAAGCGUUGUUCGGAAUUACUGGGCGUAAAGGGCGCGUAGGCGGCACGGCAAGUCAGGAGUGAAAGCCCUGGGCUCAACCCGGGAACUGCUUUUGAAACUGCCGAGCUAGAGUGCGGAAGGGGCAACUGGAAUUCCCAGUGUAGCGGUGAAAUGCGUAGAUAUUGGGAAGAACACCUGAGGCGAAGGCGGGUUGCUGGGCCGACACUGACGCUGAUGCGCGAAAGCGUGGGGAGCGAACAGG